UGGUUACCGGCCUUGACGCUGGUGGUAGUGAGUUAUGAGGAUUCUUGCCGCUGUUAUCUGAAGUCAUAUGUUGAGCCUGCAGGUCAGACCGAGUAUGAUGAACUGCUGCCAACAUAGGAGGAAAAAGGAUAUUUCAAAGACUUGCUUGUCAAGGAACUUAAAUAUGAAAGGCUACCCCAGACAUAAAGAAAACUAAAAUUAGAGAAGAAAAAAAAAAACCAAAACCAUGUUUUACGAUAGAAGUUACGACAAGCAGGUCCUUAACUGGUACUUAGCGAAGAAACUAUAGUACCAUCAGCAACUGAAAUUCUUAUGAUUCCUCAUGGUCAACAAGAAAUGCUUCAAAAUAUGAAUCUUCCAUUAGAAAAUAUUCAACUCGACCGGACUUUUUAUUAUGAUUUUACUGAUGUACAAGGAAAAACCAUUUACCAGAUACCUGAUAUCGCACACCUUUAUAUAUCAUGGAUUCUGAAAGUUAAAUAAAUUUAAAGUGGAUAUCUUCUAAGAUCUGUUAUAUAAGGGUCAUUGUUAAUCAGAAUUUGCAUUGGGCGGGCAAUAAUGAAAUUUGUGGAGAUAUACUAGAUCAACAGAGAUACCAUGCUAAUUUUGCAACUGCGUAAAGGUCCAAACUAGCUGGCACUGCCCGACGGAUAAACUAUUCUUAUAACCAGUGAUGCCGUUUUUUCUUCACAACAUUGGCUUUCAGUAGUGUUACCAUAGGCAGUUCAUCUUAUUUUUUUACUUUAUUUAUGAUUUAAUGGUUAGAAUGCGUAUUUUCCAAUGUACCUAUAAUUAUUUCCCGUGAUGUUAGAAAACUACAAGUCACUAGUUCAAUAUAAAGUAUUUUUGACGAAGAAAAAUAAAGGAUUUCAAUAAAAUUCAUUUGUAUAAAUAGGCAGGAUAUGUUUUGUAUCU